rnacentral:rRNA from 1 species
UACAGAGGUCUCAAGCGUUGUUCGGAUUCAUUGGGCGUAAAGGGUGCGUAGGUGGCGCGCUAAGUCAGGUGUGAAAUCUCGGGGCUUAACUCCGAAACUGCAUUUGAUACUGCCGUGCUUGAGGACUGGAGAGGAGACUGGAAUUUACGGUGUAGCGGUGAAAUGCGUAGAUAUCGUAAGGAAGACCAGUGGCGAAGGCGGGUCUCUGGACAGUUCCUGACGCUGAGGCACGAAGGUCAGGGGAGCAAACGGG